UCAAGAUAAGAUUUCCCACCGCAAGGGUAAGACACCAGAAAGACUAUCUGGUUGAUAGGUCGAAGGUGUAAGUGCAGCAAUGUAUUUAGCUUAUCGAUACUAAUAGGUCGAGGACUUGACCAAUAUU
rnacentral:rRNA from 1 species